GACGAACGCUGGCGGCGUGCUUAACACAUGCAAGUCGUACGACAGCAUUCCUUUUGGGGUGUUUGGAGUGGCGAACGGGUGAGUAACACGUGAGUAACCUGCCCUCUUCUUUGGGAUAACGUGCGGAAACGUGCGCUAAUACUGAAUAUUCUUAUUCUGCUGCAUGGUGGGGUGGGGAAAGGACUGUGGGGUCUUUGGGGGCUUUGUGGUUUGGUGGGGGAUGGGCUCGCGGCCUAUCAGCUUUGUUGGUGGGGUGAUGGCCUACCAAGGCGU
rnacentral:rRNA from 1 species